CCAACAGGGAUUCCCUUAGUAAGUGCGACUGAAACGGGAAGAGCCCAGCGCAUAACCUCGUACGAGGGGUGUUGCGUUUCAGAGGGUCUAGCACACCUUCCUACCACUAAGUAAUGCUUGAACGCAUCCAAUGCCCAGGGAGGGUGACAGGCCCGUAUGGUGUCGCGUGAGCGGACAUGGGGUUGGCGGAAAGGGCCUUCUGUAGAGUCGGGUUGCUUGAUACUGCAGCCCAAAGUAGGUGGUAAACUCCAUCUAAGGCUAAAUAUGACCACGAGA
rnacentral:rRNA from 1 species